CCUACGGGUGGCAGCAGUGAGGAAUAUUGGUCAAUGGACGAGAGUCUGAACCAACCAAGUAGCGUGAAGGAUGACUGCCCUAUGGGUUGUAAACUUCUUUUAUAUGGGAAUAAAACGUUCCACGUGUGGGAUUUUGUAUGUACCAUAUGAAUAAGGAUCGGCUAACUCCGUGCCAGCAGCCGCGGUAAUACGGAGGAUCCGAGCGUUAUCCGGAUUUAUUGGGUUUAAAGGGAGCGUAGGUGGAUUGUUAAGUCAGUUGUGAAAGUUUGCGGCUCAACCGUAAAAUUGCAGUUGAAACUGGCAGUCUUGAGUACAGUAGAGGUGGGCGGAAUUCGUGGUGUAGCGGUGAAAUGCUUAGAUAUCACGAAGAACUCCGAUUGCGAAGGCAGUUCACUGGACUGCAACUGACACUGAGGCUCGAAAGUGUGGGUAUCAAACAGGAUUAGAUACCCCUGUAGUC
rnacentral:rRNA from 1 species